AAAAAAAAAAAAGUUCAGCUCGAGAAUUUCGUUAAUCCCGGCGACGAUAUUUCGAGCUGAGCCGUUACGAGUCGAGACGCACCUUCAUGUUGGCUCUGUGUCUUGCUUGGAGCUAGGAGUUGGGAUUGCAAAUGCGACUUCGACGAGAGCUGAACUUCAACUGUGCCGUUGCAGUGCACUGGCUUUGGCUUUUAUGGCCAAAUGUCGUGAGCCCAACAGCCCAAAGCCACGAAACCAGCUCGACCCUGCCCCAAGCUAGCCCAGCUAGCCCAGCUAGCCCAGCUGGCCAGCCAGCUGUCCGGCUGGCUCUCUUUAUUAGCUCGUUAUGCAAUUCAUCAAAACGCUUGCACAAAGAGCAUUAACCAAACAUAACAAAACAGCAGCGAAUAAGUGGCGCAUUUUAGCACUCCAAACAUGAAAGACCGAACCCCACUUCGAAUCAAACGCCGCCUUCAUGAGAUGAGCCAACAAAAUGGGCAUUGUAACAUGUUAAUGAAGCGUCUGGAGCAACAUUUGCCAUUUUUUUUGCUUAUUAUAAGUCAAUUUCAAAGAUAAACAGACUUUCUUAAUCAAAUCAGUCCGAGCCAAUGACAUGAGAUGUGUGCGUUUGCCAGAGCCCAAGUCUUUAAAGUCUCUGUAUUUAUUAGAGCAGUCCGCCCACACAGCAGACUUGCAAUGGCUCUUACGUUAGUCAAGCUAGAAAGCGCUGUCAGAUGAUCGAUAA